GCCUCUUUAGCUCAGUGGUAGAGCACUGGUCUCGUAAACCAGGGGUCGUGAGUUCAAACCUCACAGGAGGCA
rfam:Harpegnathos saltator strain R22 G/1 HarSal_1.0_3.contig4112, whole genome shotgun sequence.